rnacentral:rRNA from 1 species
UGGGGAAUUUUGGACAAUGGGCGAAAGCCUGAUCCAGCAAUGCCGCGUGUGUGAAGAAGGCCUUCGGGUUGUAAAGCACUUUUGUCCGGAAAGAAAUCCUUGGCUCUAAUACAGUCGGGGGAUGACGGUACCGGAAGAAUAAGCACCGGCUAACUACGUGCCAGCAGCCGCGGUAAUACGUAGGGUGCAAGCGUUAAUCGGAAUUACUGGGCGUAAAGCGUGCGCAGGCGGUUUGCUAAGACCGAUGUGAAAUCCCCGGGCUCAACCUGGGAACUGCAUUGGUGACUGGCAGGCUAGAGUAUGGCAGAGGGGGGUAGAAUUCCACGUGUUGCAGUGAAAUGCGUAGAGAUGUGGAGGAAUACCGAUGGCGAAGGCAGCCCCCUGGGCCAAUACUGACGCUCAUGCACGAAAGCGUGGGGAGCAAACAGGAUUAGAUACCCUGGUAGUCCACGCCCUAAACGAUGUCAACUAGUUGUUGGGGAUUCAUUUCCUUAGUAACGUAGCUAACGCGUGAAGUUGACCGCCUGGGGAGUACGGUCGCAAGAUUAAAACUCAAAUGAAUUGACGGGGUCAUAGCUGUUUCCU